rnacentral:lncRNA from 1 species
UGAAAUGAAAUUAAAAUAAGAAAUGUUAAUCCAAUCUAUUUUAAAUGUCCAGUGGGAUGGAUGUUGCGAGGGCUAAAAAUAUAUUUUGAAAAGUUAAGAGUUGUCAUCUAACAAUUAGAGAAAAUUAGGAAUUCUAAAAUUUAACCUGCUUACAGAUAUUUAAGAUAAAAGUGGAUUAAGUCUUAAAAAAUAUUUUGUUAGAACUCUGAACAUUUUUCAGCCUUCUCUCAAAAGGAUCGUAGCCAAUCUUCAGCAAUAAUGGAGAGGAAAGGGCAGCCGUGAGGGAUUUGGGUCUGGUGUUGGGUUUGAGAGGAGAAAGGUCAGCGAUGAUGGCUGGAACGGUGGGUUUCCUUCGUGGUGGUUGGUUGUAGAAGGAGCUCUCGGUCUGGAAGUCGAGGGGUCGUCGUUUUGGGUCUUGUCACAGUAGAGAGAUGGGCUGUCGGUGUUGGAGAGUAAAAAGAAAAAGGAUAAUAGGCUUGUGGUAACAAGGGCUCUUAUGGGCAGUGGCUAAUUUCGGCGUGGCUGUUGGGAGUCUUGGGACUGGACACACUGCGGAGAAAGCGAGUACAGGGGUAUGGUGGUCUCGGGUGGAGACUGACUUGGGAGAGGUGGUUUGCUGUGGAUUCUUGACCAACGGUGGGAGGCUGGUGGCUAAUAUGGUUGCUGAAUGUUACGGGUCUGUGAUAGCUGUUGAAGAUGGGUUUACAGAGUGGGUUAAGGGUUGUGUUUGUGAGGCUGUUCACGGUGAAGGGACUCCUGGCUGCAGCUGCUGUGAUGGCUGUUACGGGGGUGGUUUUCGCUGCCUGUCGUAGUGAUGAAUGGCUAAAGAGGUUGGUGGGUGAUAUGGGUAAAGGGAAAAAUCUGAGAUAAUCGUGGGAUGAAGUUAUGGUGAAGAUUCUGUCUUUUUGCUGAGAGAGGCUGUGGGUUUUGGUUUGAUCAACAGAGGAGACAGGAUUCUGGUUUUUGGUCGUGGGUUGAUGAAAAAGAGAAUUUUUUUUUUCCAGUUUUGUUUGAUCUGGAUGAAUCAGAGGCUGUGUCUUGAUCUAUCUGUCAAAUUCCCCCUCCCCUACUGUGUAUGAUGAAUCCCUGUGUAAUAAAAAUCAAAUCCCACGUUUUUUCUUUGUCAAUCAAGGCUGUAGAUUUGUG